rnacentral:rRNA from 1 species
UACGUAGGUGACAAGCGUUGUCCGGAUUUACUGGGCGUAAAGAGCGCGCAGGCGGUCGUUCAAGUCGAGUGUGAAAGCCCCCGGCUCAACUGGGGAGGGUCACUCGAUACUGAUCGACUUGAAGGCAGGAGAGGGAAGCGGAAUUCCCGGUGUAGUGGUGAAACGCGUAGAUAUCGGGAGGAACACCAGUGGCGAAGGCGGCUUCCUGGCCUGCUCUUGACGCUGAGGCGCGAAAGCUAGGGUAGCAAACGGG